rnacentral:rRNA from 1 species
AUUGAACGCUGGCGGCAUGCCUUACACAUGCAAGUCGAACGCGAAAGCGGGGCAACCCGCAAGUAGAGUGGCGAACGGGUGAGUAAUACAUCGGAACAUUUCCAGUAGCGGGGGAUAACCUGUCGAAAGAUAGGCUAAUACCGCAUACGCCCUACGGGGGAAAGCGGAGGACCGCAAGGCUUCGCACUAUUGGAGUGGCCGAUGUCGGAUUAGCUAGUUGGCGGGGUAAAAGCCCACCAAGGCUACGAUCCGUAGCUGGUCUGAGAGGACGAUCAGCCACACUGGAACUGAGACACGGUCCAGACUCCUACGGGAGGCAGCAGUGGGGAAUUUUGGACAAUGGGCGCAAGCCUGAUCCAGCCAUGCCGCGUGAGUGAAGAAGGCCUUCGGGUUGUAAAGCUCUUUCGGUGGGGACGAAACGGUUCGUGCUAAUACCACGGACUAAUGACGGUACCCGAAGAAGAAGCACCGGCUAACUACGUGC